AACCCAUGAUGAAAGUUGAUUCUGCCAGAUGAGUACUCGUGAUAUUAACACCAUUCCGUUCCAUUUACUGAGGUU
rnacentral:snoRNA from 1 species